UACGAAGGGGGCUAGCGUUGCUCGGAAUCACUGGGCGUAAAGCGCACGUAGGCGGAUUGCUAAGUCAGGGGUGAAAUCCUGGAGCUCAACUCCAGAACUGCCUUUGAUACUGGCGACCCUGAGUCCGGGAGAGGUGAGUGGAACUGCGAGUGUAGAGGUGAAAUUCGUAGAUAUUCGCAAGAACACCAGUGGCGAAGGCGGCUCACUGGCCCGGUACUGACGCUGAGGUGCGAAAGCGUGGGUAGCAAACGGG
rnacentral:rRNA from 1 species